rnacentral:misc_RNA from 1 species
GCAAACUUGGUCAUUUAGAGGAAGUAAAAGUCGUAACAAGGUAUCCGUAGGUGAACCUGCGGAUGGAUCAUUACUAAAUUGAUUGACGAUUCACUUGAAUCUUCACUACAAUCACCACUACUUAUGUGAACUGUCAGACGCGUCAAGCCUCUCUCUGAUGCUUGAUUGCCGUCUUGUAAUUUUAUCAACAUUAAAUCUAAUAAUCAACUUAAUUUAAGCUUAUAAAAGCAACUAAAACUUUUAGCAACGGAUCUCUAGGCUCUCGCAUCGAUGAAGAACGCAGC